AACGCGAAGAACCUUACCAGGACUUGACAUGGGGAGCACCGGUCCAGAGAUGGGCCUUCCCGCAAGGGGCUCCCGCACAGGUGCUGCAUGGCUGUCGUCAGCUCGUGUCGUGAGAUGUUGGGUUAAGUCCCGCAACGAGCGCAACCCUCGCCUUUAGUUGCCAUCAGGUUUGGCUGGGCACUCUAAAGGAACUGCCGGUGACAAGCCGGAGGAAGGUGGGGAUGACGUCAAGUCCUCAUGGCCCUUAUGUCCUGGGCUACACACGUGCUACAAUGGCGGUGACAGUGGGAAGCUAGGUCGCAAGGCCGUGCUGAUCUCUAAAAGCCGUCUCAGUUCAGAUUGCACUCUGCAACUCGAGUGCAUGAAGGUGGAAUCGCUAGUAAUCGUGGAUCAGCAUGCCACGGUGAAUACGUUCCCGGGCCUUGUACACACCGUAGUAC
rnacentral:rRNA from 1 species